CCUACGGGAGGCUGCAGUCGAGAAUUUUUUGCAAUGGACGAAAGUCUGACAAAGCGACGCCGUGUGAAUGAUGAAGGCCUUAGGGUUGUAAAAUUCUUUCGCUAGGGAACAAGAGAUGGGGGUUAAUACCCCUCAAAUUUGAGGGUACCUGGUAAAGAAGCACCGGCUAACUCCGUGCCAGCAGCUGCGGUAAUACGGAGGGUGCAAGCAUUAAUCGGAUUUACUGGGCGUAAAGGGUGCGUAGGCGGAUUGGUAAGUCAGGUGUGAAAUCCCGGUACUCAAUACCGGAACGGCACUUGAAACUGCCUGUCUAGAGGUUAGGCGGAGAGAACGGAAUUCCAUGUGUAGCGGUGAAAUGCGUAGAUAUAUGGAAGAACACCUGUGGCGUAGGCGGUUCUCUAGCUUAAUUCUGACGCUGAGGCACGAGAGCGUGGGGAGCAAACAGGAUUAGAUACCCCUGUAGUC
rnacentral:rRNA from 1 species